rnacentral:rRNA from 1 species
GACGAACGCUGGCGGCGUGCCUAAUACAUGCAAGUUGAGCGCUGAAGGUUGGUACUUGUACCAACUGGAUGAGCAGCGAACGGGUGAGUAACGCGUGGGGAAUCUGCCUUUGAGCGGGGGACAACAUUUGGAAACGAAUGCUAAUACCGCAUAAAAACUUUAAACACAAGUUUUAAGUUUGAAAGAUGCAAUUGCAUCACUCAAAGAUGAUCCCGCGUUGUAUUAGCUAGUUGGUGAGGUAAAGGCUCACCAAGGCGAUGAUACAUAGCCGACCUGAGAGGGUGAUCGGCCACAUUGGGACUGAGACACGGCCCAAACUCCUACGGGAAGCAGCAGUAGGGAAUCCUCGGCAAUGGACGAAAGUCUGACCGAGCAACGCCGCGUGAGUGAAGAAGGGUUUCGGAUCGUAAAACUCUGUUGGUAGAGAAGAACGUUGGUGAGAGUGGAAAGCUCAUCAAGUGACGGUAACUACCCAGAAAGGGACGGCUAACUACGUG